rnacentral:rRNA from 1 species
CCUACGGGUGGCAGCAGUGAGGAAUAUUGGUCAAUGGGCGCGAGCCUGAACCAGCCAAGCAGCGUGAAGGAUGACUGCCCUACGGGUCGUAAACCUCUUUUAUAAAGGAAUAAAGUGAGGCACGCGUCCCUUUCUGUAUGUACCUGAUGAAUAAGCAUCGGCUAACUCCGUGCCAGCAGCCGCGGUAAUACGGAGGAUCCGAGCGUUAUCCGGAUUUAUUGGGUUUAAAGGGAGCGUAGAUGGGUUGUUAAGUCAGCUGUGAAAGCUGGGGGCUCAACCGUAGGAGUGCAGUUGAUACUGGGAGCCUUGAGUGCGGUUGAGGUAGGCGGAAGGCGAGGUGUAGCGGUGAAAUGCAUAGAUAUCGCGAAGAACUCCGAUUGCGAAGGCAGCUUGCUAAGCUGCCACUGACGUUGAGGCACGAAAGUGUGGGUAUCGAACAGGAUUAGAUACCCGUGUAGUC